UCCAGACUCCUACUUUAUUCAUCAUUUUGGAAUAUUUCACAAUUUUCGCAAUCCUGAUGCAGCCAUGCCGCGUUUAUGAAGAAGUCCUUCGUGUUGUAAAGUACUUUCAUCGGGUAUGAAGUUUUUUAGGUUAAUAACCUCAGCAAUUGACGUUACCCGCAUAAGAAGCACCGUCUAACUCCUUUCCAGCAGCCGCGGUAAUACGGAGGGUGCAAUCGUUAAUCGGAAUUACUGGGCGUAAAGCGCACGAAGGAGGUCUGUAAAGUCGGAUGUGAAAUACCCGGGCUCAAACUGGGAAAUGAAUUCGAAAAUGGAAGGAUGGAGUAUUGUAGAGGGGGGUAGAAUUAAAGGUGUAGAGGUGAAAUGAGUAGAGAUAUGGAGGAAUAACGGUGGAGAAGGAGGAAAAAUGGAAAAAGACUGAAGAUAAGGUGAGAAAGAGUGGGGAGAAAAAAGGAUUAGAUAAAAAGGUAGU
rnacentral:rRNA from 1 species